UUUCAGUAUAUUGGCAAAACAUCUAGAACACUAAAAAUAAGAAUCAGGGAGCAUAUUUAUAACAUUAACAGGACAUUUACCCUACAUAGUGUAUCAAAACAUUUUUUGAAAGUCCAUGGGGAUAAUGCAAAUGGUAUAGAGUUUGGGGGAAGAAAAGCAGUUAAAGUACAUUGGAGAGGAGGUGAUAUCGAGAGCCUCCUCAGUAAAACUGAGAUCAAAUGGAGUUUUAAUAUGGAAUCACUGUCUGAAUAUGGAGACAUGGUCUGAAUGCAGGUUUUGAAAUUAAUUCAUGUAUAUAAAAAUCUGUGUUUUAUAUUUCCU